GUGGGGAAUAUUGGACAAUGGGGGGAACCCUGAUCCAGCCAUGCCGCGUGUGUGAAGAAGGCCUUUUGGUUGUAAAGCACUUUAAGCGAGGAGGAGGCUACCGAGAUUAAUACUCUUGGAUAGUGGACGUUACUCGCAGAAUAAGCACCGGCUAACUCUGUGCCAGCAGCCGCGGUAAUACAGAGGGUGCAAGCGUUAAUCGGAUUUACUGGGCGUAAAGCGCGCGUAGGUGGCCAAUUAAGUCAAAUGUGAAAUCCCCGAGCUUAACUUGGGAAUUGCAGUCGAUACUGGUUGGCUAGAGUAUGGGAGAGGAUGGUAGAAUUCCAGGUGUAGCGGUGAAAUGCGUAGAGAUCUGGAGGAAUACCGAUGGCGAAGGCAGCCAUCUGGCCUAAUACUGACACUGAGGUGCGAAAGCAUGGGGAGCAAACAGGAUUAGAUACCCGAGUAGUCC
rnacentral:rRNA from 1 species